CCUUUCCGUCUGGCGGCAGCCAUCAGGUAGGCUGCGUUGAGGAUCUUUGCUCUUCCAUCCGCCUUUGAUCGUCUUCCUCUUCAGCCAUCCAGGCCCGGGGACCCUUCGUCCUCGGAGAUAGGUCUCCCUCCUGUGCGGCCAGAGUUUGGUCAGGAUGCGGGACAGCAAAGGGGUGGAGAGGCGGCCCCCGGGGCGGGUUGAGCGAAGAUGUGAUGGCGGCGCGAAUUCGAGCUGGGCCCGGAUCCUGGAGGAGGCGUGGGGCUGACGAAUGGGGCGCCCGGGACAAGGCAGCCUAAAGUGAGGCUGCUGGUUGGGUGGGGUAGAUGCAUUUUCCUCGAGAGUUAAUCCUCGGUGGCCGCAGCAGUACCUUGUCCUGUGAUGUCAGCGGCCUCUCCUUUCAGGUCCUCCUUGGGGACGCCGCCUGCCGCAGCCACCCGCCCCCUUGGUGCUCAGUUCUGGUUCUGUUAAUUCGCCCCACCAAAACGUGCCGAGCACCGCUCUGUGCUGGGGUUGCGGAAGUGACUGAACGCGGCUCCGUGGGCGCAGUGGUGGGGGUUGGGCUAGCUGUCCCCGGCAGUUGGUGCAGAGCCAUUUUCAUUCCCGGCGGUUUCCUUGUGCUUGUUGGGGAACUAAGAUGGACGGGGAUACAGUCUGAUUGUACUUAAAGUGGAUGAUAUUUAAUACACAGUUUGAUUUCACAGGUAAGCCAAGAUGGGUGCAUACAAGUACAUCCAGGAGCUAUGGAGAAAGAAGCAGUCUGAUGUCAUGCGCUUUCUUCUGAGGGUCCGCUGCUGGCAGUACCGCCAGCUCUCUGCUCUCCACAGGGCUCCCCGCCCCACCCGGCCUGAUAAAGCGCGCCGACUGGGCUACAAGGCCAAGCAAGGUACGUGAUCGACUGCGUGGAUGCUUGGAUAAAAUUACAUUCGAGAAAAGUUGGAAACCAGCUGUUAGGAAGACACUGCUGCCUCAGUGUCUUUUCUUCGCAUAGGGCUUUGGCAGAAUAGAGCUAGCAACACUGGUCAGUUACUGUAUGCACUGUUGUCUAAAGUGGCAAGUGUGUCAAAGGUUACAAAUCUGAAUGAGUUCAGACUAAAGCAAAAUAAACAGUGUGCCUCCCUGUGUGAGUAGCCUAAGGUGCAUUGAAAAAGACUGGGAUGUGUUUUAUUUUUUUCCAUUAGAUAGCAUUAACUUACUGUUGAAGUAUUUUUGGUGGAGUAUUAGUGACAAGCCAUUGAGUCUUAAGCCUUACGGCUUCCUAUAAAAUCACUAAUUUUGUGUGUGUUUGUGUGUAGGUUACGUUAUAUAUAGGAUUCGUGUUCGCCGUGGUGGCCGAAAACGCCCAGUUCCUAAGGGUGCAACUUACGGCAAGCCUGUACAUCAUGGUGUUAACCAGCUAAAGUUUGCUCGAAGCCUUCAGUCCGUUGCAGAGGAGCGAGCUGGACGCCACUGUGGGGCUCUGAGAGUCCUGAAUUCUUACUGGGUUGGUGAAGAUUCCACAUACAAAUUUUUUGAGGUUAUCCUCAUUGAUCCAUUCCAUAAAGCUAUCAGAAGAAAUCCUGACACCCAGUGGAUCACCAAACCAGUCCACAAGCACAGGGAGAUGCGUGGGCUGACAUCUGCAGGCCGAAAGAGCCGUGGCCUUGGAAAGGGCCAUAAGUUCCACCACACUAUUGGUGGCUCUCGCCGGGCAGCUUGGAGAAGGCGCAAUACUCUCCAGCUCCACCGUUACCGCUAAUAUAAGUAAAGUUUGUAAAAUUCAUACUUAAUAAACAAUUUAGGACAGUC
rnacentral:sRNA from 1 species